rnacentral:rRNA from 1 species
UACGAAGGGGGCUAGCGUUGCUCGGAAUCACUGGGCGUAAAGGGUGCGUAGGCGGGUCUUUAAGUCAGGGGUGAAAUCCUGGAGCUCAACUCCAGAACUGCCUUUGAUACUGAAGAUCUUGAGUUCGGGAGAGGUGAGUGGAACUGCGAGUGUAGAGGUGAAAUUCGUAGAUAUUCGCAAGAACACCAGUGGCGAAGGCGGCUCACUGGCCCGAUACUGACGCUGAGGUUCGAAAGCUCGGGGAGCAAACAGG